GGCUUGACAUAUAGAGGAAACGUACUGGAAACAGUCGCCCCGCAAGGUCUCUAUACAGGUGGUGCAUGGUUGUCGUCAGCUCGUGUCGUGAGAUGUUGGGUUAAGUCCCGCAACGAGCGCAACCCUCGUUCUAUGUUGCCAGCACGUAAUGGUGGGAACUCAUGGGAUACUGCCGGGGUCAACUCGGAGGAAGGUGGGGAUGACGUCAAAUCAUCAUGCCCCUUAUGUCUUGGGCUUCACGCAUGCUACAAUGGCCGGUACAAAGGGCUGCAAUACCGUAAGGUGGAGCGAAUCCCAAAAAGCCGGUCCCAGUUCGGAUUGAGGUCUGCAACUCGACCUCAUGAAGUCGGAGUCGCUAGUAAUCGCAGAUCAGCAACGCUGCGGUGAAUACGUUCCCGGGUCUU
rnacentral:rRNA from 1 species